UUCCUAUCAUCCCAAUGGUCAUGAAAUAUGAGUUUGCAUCUUUGAAUAACUCUCCCAUUUGGUAUUGCUCCCAUGCUUCCUUGGAUUUAAAUAGUGUUGGAAACUUAGUGCUUUCUUCAUCCUCAUUUUGUUGAAGGUCUUGUUCAGGUUGCUUCUCACGGGUGUUGGUUUCUUCAGCAGGUUGAUCUCCCAAAAUAUUCUAUGGGAAUAUUAAGGGUCAGCUCAUCACUUCACCCUUGAAGAGAGUGUACAACCUUGUAUGCCAAGUGUGUUAGUCCUUAACAAACUUAUAAAACUCUCGUUAGUCCACUUGAAUUUGUUGUAGAGUUUCCCAUAAGAGUUCUUCAUUGUUACAUGAAGAACUAACUUCUGUUUUUUUGUGUAUCUCUGGAUAACUCUUUUUACCUUUUUCCUACAACAAAUUCAAGAAAACAACUUUGUCAGAACCAGCUUGGGGGUUACUAGUCUCAUUAGUUGGGUUGUCUAGGACUCCAUGUAUCUUGCAGAGAGCGGUAAUCAAACAGAGGAAGUAUAACAUUCCAUCUUUUUUCUUUGCACAAACAUGCAUUUCUUGGCAAAUAAUCUUAACAAUGUUUAUGGAGGAACAUGUGGGGAUACAGUGAAGCAAAAUCAACAUUCCUUUGUUAACAAUUUCAUUGUGGGAUGUAGGCAUUAAAGAGUGCUUUAAGAAUUGAUACCAAACCUUUGGAAUGGGUUGCAAGUCCAGGUGUAUAAUAGUUUUCUCAGCAUAUUUGUUUCUAUCAAGCCCAGUAGUUCCUGGAAGACACAAAGGUUUUAUGACUACAUAUAAAUCCAUAUCAUCCAUCUUCUCAAAAAGUGAUUAAUAGGAGUCUUCAACAUUUUGCACUCCAAACACCAUGUUGUUUGUCUUAUCUGAGUAUUGGACUAAUCUUCCUCUUACCGACACUUCCAACUUCUUUUGGGAUAUACCGCUCAGAUUGGAGUAGAACUCCUUCAUAAUUUGAGUGUUAUAGGAAAGAGGGUGUUUGUAAAAUAUUUUCUAUUUCUGCCAUGUUAUGACAUGCCUGAUCUCAUCAGUAAGACCAAUGCCCUCAUCUUUCAUGUAAAACUCGAAUUUGAUAAUUAUUUUUAAAUUUUUGCUGAAA